AAAAUCGGAGAAUGACCAAAUCAAAUGGUAAUGCUAAUCAGAAGCGAAAACAGAGACACAAAGAAUAAAAAAUCAAAAAGCAGAAAGCAAGGCCAGAUAAGAACACGUAAAAUUGCCGAAAAUUUGCAAAAGGUACGAAAAAAAAAAAAAAAAGGCAACCAAAGUCAGCUGUGCUGAUAACGUGGGCGAGAAAUGCCGGCUGAUUGGCGAUAUCUGGCCAACUAUUCAGAUUGCACAUAAACGAGAGAAUCACGGAGAAAAAAGCUACUCCAAAUUGAUCAUUUGGCAUUGCUUGCUAUAAAAAUAUACAUAAGUCAAUUAUCUCCGGACAGAGUGUUAUUUUUAUACAUCUCAUUAUGACAUUUUAAGAUAUUUAUAGCACAAUGAUUGAAGUAAUAUUAUCUGAACUUUAUCGCUUGUACGUAUAAAGAAAAAUGGAAAAAUCAAUUUAUACCUCUUAAAUGAUAUUAUAUGUUAUGUGAGUACUUUUUAGACUUUUUAAUAUAAAAAAGUUAAAACGAGAAAUUUGUUAUAAGCCAAAAUAUUCUUAUGUUUAAACUGAAUUUAAUUAUUAAAUUUGGAUAUAGCUUUGGAACAGCAAAAAAGCAAAUAAUUGAAAUAAGAUAUGGGUGUUAUAUCAGGUACUAAAAGAUCUUCAAUUUGCACACACUCACGGAGAAAGCCGAAAAGAGAGAGAAAAAAAGAGACGAAAAAGUUCCAAUCAGAAUCAAAUGCCAGAGACAAAAUGUUGUCACCGGAAAUUUAUCACCCGUACGGACAGACGAAAAAUAUGGACGGACGAAGACAUGCGUGGGGGAGAAAAAAAACCAACAAGACACCGGCUAUUUCGGUUGACAUUGACAGACACUCUGUACUAAAUACUAAAAUACUCUACAAUAAAUGUGAAACUGGGGGAGGUGGGAGGUUUCUGGGGGUCUCCAGACCACCUGGCUUGUGAACUGUGCCGCUAUUUCGACAAUUUCAAGCACAAGGCCGAGAGCUCGACUUCGACUUCGACUCGUUUUGGACGUCGGCUACUGGGCUCUCGAUUUAAAAUUGUCAAAAAUAAAAAAAAAAUACAAAACACAAAAAACAAAACUCGAAAAAUUGCGCACAGACCAAAAAAAAAAAAAAACAACAACAAUGAAAGGUUGGAGCGAAAGCGAAUGGCAAGGGGCAAUAAUUGAAUGAAUGCUAGCAACAAAAACAGACAGACGAAAAUGUAUCUCGGUGACGUAAUUGAUUUGGGCUUUAUUUACAAAGAAAAAAUGAAAUACCGAUUCGUAAUUGCUGCUUCCCAACACAAAAAAAGGCCAUGAGCCACUUGUCAGAUCAUCGAUCUGGAAUCAAUAUUGUUUUCCGAUAAUGGUUAAUGGAUAAUGAUAUGUAAAAACACGUGGCCCAUGUGGAGCGAACCUAAAAGUAUGCAGGCGAAAAAUCUGAAGACCCAAAACGGGGAAGUUUUGAUCGUGAAAACAUUACCUAGCUAAUAUUUCCCCUUUUCCUGAUUUUCCAUGCUUAAUUUGUCAUGGUAAUAAACAAAAAUGUUCGGCCAAAUGCACCCACAGAAUACGCUACUUGGGGUUUGAAAACUAAUAAAUAAACACACAAAUUUCCUUAGCCACAAA